UACGGAGGGGGCUAGCGUUGUUUGGAAUUACUGGGCGUAAAGCGCACGUAGGCGGAUUGUUUAGUCAGAGGUGAAAUCCCGGGGCUCAACCCCGGAAUAGCCUUUGAUACUGGCAGUCUUGAGUCCGAGAGAGGUGAGUGGAAUUCCGAGUGUAGAGGUGAAAUUCGUAGAUAUUCGGAGGAACACCAGUGGCGAAGGCGGCUCACUGGCUCGGUACUGACGCUGAGGUGCGAAAGCGUGGGGAGCAAACAGG
rnacentral:rRNA from 1 species